rnacentral:rRNA from 1 species
GACGAACGCUGGCGGCGUGCUUAACACAUGCAAGUCGAACGGAAAGGCCCUGCUUUUGUGGGGUGCUCGAGUGGCGAACGGGUGAGUAACACGUGAGUAACCUGCCCUUGACUUUGGGAUAACUUCAGGAAACUGGGGCUACUACCGUAUAGGAGCUCCUGCUGCAUGGUGGGGGUUGGAAAGUUUCGGCGGUUGGGGAUGGACUCGCGGCUUAUCAGCUUGUUGGUGGGGUAGUGGCUUACCAAGGCUUUGACGGGUAGCCGGCCUGAGAGGGUGACCGGCCACAUGGGGACUGAGAGACGGCCCAGACGCCUACGGGAGGCAGCAGUGGGGAAUAUUGCACAAUGGGCGGGAGCCUGAUGCAGCAACGCCGCGUGCGGGAUGACGGCCUUCGGGUUGUAAACCGCUUUCGCCUGUGACGAAGCGUGAGUGACGGUAAUGGGUAAAGAAGCACCGGCUAACUACGUG